ensembl:snRNA U6 U6 spliceosomal RNA
GUGCUCGCUUUGGCAGCACAUAUACUAAAAUUGGAACAAUAGAAGAUUAGUAUGACCCCUGCACAAGGAAGACACACAAAUUCAUGAAGCGUUCCAUAUUUUU